CAGUCGCCACGGUAAUACAGAGGGUGCAAGCGUUAAUCGGAGUUACUGGGCGUAAAGGGCGCGUAGGCGGUUAUAUAAGUGAGAUGUGAAAUCCCUGGGCUUAACCUAGGAACUGCAUCUUAUACUGUAUGGCUAGAGUAUUGUAGAGGGUAGUGGAAUUUCCGGUGUAGCGGUGAAAUUCGUAGAUAUUGGGAAGAACACCAGUGGCGAAGGCGACUCACUGGACCGACACUGACGCUGAGGCGCGAAAGCGUGGGGAGCAAACAGGAUUAGAUACCCGUGUAGUCCCUGUCUCUUAUAC
rnacentral:rRNA from 1 species